rnacentral:tRNA from 1 species
CUAGCUCAGCAGGUAGAGCACCUGACUUUUAAUCAGGGGGUCGCGGGUUCGAAUCCCGCG